AGACGUCUACAUUAGAUACCCAUGUAGUCCCAGCCGUAAACUAUGCGCGUUAGGUGUAUCGGUGACCACGAGUUACCGAGGUGCCGAAGGGAAACCGUGAAACGUGCCGCCUGGGAAGUACGGUCGCAAGGCUGAAACUUAAAGGAAUUGGCGGGGGAGCACCACAACAGGUGGAGCCUGCGGUUUAAUUGGACUCAACGCCGGGAAGCUCACCGGAUAGGACAGCAGAAUGAUUGCCGGGCUGAAGACCCUGCAUGACUAGCUG
rnacentral:rRNA from 1 species